rnacentral:rRNA from 1 species
GACAGAGGGGGCAAGCGUUGCUCGGAAUUACUGGGCGUAAAGGGCGCGUAGGCGGCCUGCUAAGUCGGACGUGAAAUCCCUCGGCUCAACCGAGGAACUGCGUCCGAUACUGGUGGGCUUGAAUCCGGGAGAGGGAUGUGGAAUUCCAGGUGUAGCGGUGAAAUGCGUAGAUAUCUGGAGGAACACCGGUGGCGAAGGCGGCAUCCUGGACCGGUAUUGACGCUGAGGCGCGAAAGCUAGGGGAGCAAACGGG